GGUGGCCAUCAGUGGCAAUCUGGGCUUUAUGCUUUCUGUUCAAGUAAGAGAGGAGCUCGUCUCCCAAACGUGGGAUGAAAAUCCUUCCUGUCAGUCUUACUGGAGCAGCUUAUCACCCCAUGACCAAUGGCUGUCCCCAGACAGUUUGGGGCACUUGUGGAGCCAGAAAGCCGGUCUUCCUGUUCCUGGCUAGAACCCUCUUCUGCUAUAGUGAUGGAACAGUGGUCUUCAGAAACAAUGCCCGUCAUCUCCACUUCUGUGAACAUGUCCUGUACGGACAUCCCCCAAGAGGGUCCUGUGGAUUCGAUGCCACUCUGUUGAGGACACCACUGGCUCUAGUCCUGAUCCAGAGACUUGGAUGGGGAAGACUGCACGUGACAGAGGAGGAGAGAAGGGCACUUUCAGCAAAGCUGUGCCUGUGUCAGGCCACUCUCCCAGUGCCUCUGACGCUCUGGAAACAGCUGUUGGAGAAGUCAGGUAGGUCCUAG
rnacentral:lncRNA from 1 species